AUUAACUUAAAACUCCAAAAGUGAGUGUCCUAGUACCGCUUAUACAAUCGAGUGAUUACACAUCUCCUUAAACCCAUACAUAAGAGAAUCAUGCAACAUUAGAAGUUAGUUAUUCCCUGAAUGAGGCUGCACGACCCCAUGAUUUAAAAUAACUUUGUAGACAUUUGACGUACCAAGAAGUUUUCCCUGCUGGAACUGUUCCUCCAAGAGGGGAUUGACUUUGCUGGUCUUUUUGCGCUCAUCAAGCUUCUUCUGAAUCUUUUUGGACCUCUUCUUGUUCAGAGUCUCCUCCUCCUCAGCGGU